UACGUAGGGUGCAAGCGUUGUCCGGAAUUAUUGGGCGUAAAGAGCUCGUAGGCGGUUUGUCGCGUCUGCUGUGAAAGUCCGAGGCUCAACCUCGGAUCUGCAGUGGGUACGGGCAGACUAGAGUGUGGUAGGGGGAGACUGGAAUUCCUGGUGUAGCGGUGGAAUGCGCAGAUAUCAGGAGGAACACCAAUGGCGAAGGCAGGUCUCUGGGCCACAACUGACGCUGGAGGAGCGAAAGCAUGGGGAGCGAACAGG
rnacentral:rRNA from 1 species